rnacentral:rRNA from 1 species
GAUGAACGCUAGCUACAGGCUUAACACAUGCAAGUCGAGGGGCAGCGGUAUCGAAAGCUUGCUUUCGGUAGCCGGCGACCGGCGCACGGGUGAGUAACGCGUAUCGAACCUGCCUCAUACUCGGGAAUAGCCUUGCGAAAGUAAGAUUAAUGCCCGGUGUUUUCAGAGUCCCGCAUGAGGCUUUGAACAAAGAUUUAUCGGUGUGAGAUGGCGAUGCGUCCCAUUAGCUUGUUGGCGGGGUAACGGCCCACCAAGGCAUCGAUGGGUAGGGGUUCUGAGAGGAAGGUCCCCCACAUUGGAACUGAGACACGGUCCAAACUCCUACGGGAGGCAGCAGUGAGGAAUAUUGGUCAAUGGGCGGAAGCCUGAACCAGCCAAGUAGCGUGCAGGAAGACGGCCCUCCGGGUUGUAAACUGCUUCUAGUUGGGAAUAAAACGGGGCUCGUGAGCCCCCUUGCAUGUACCAUCAGAAAAAGGACCGGCUAAUUCCGUGCCAGCCGCCGCGGUAA